AUGGUGGUUGAGAAGCCAACUUUGGCAAGUAUUUGGUCUGCUAAAGGGGGUACUGGGCGCUUAUUUGUUUUAGGAGAGGUUGUUCACAUAUUCAGGCCACUUGUGUAUGUACUUCUGAUCAGAAAGUUUGGAAUCAGAUCAUGGACCCCAUGGUUAGUGUCGCUAGCUGUGGAACUGACAAGUCUUGGCAUCCAUUCACACGCGACUGAUCUAAAUCAUAGAGGAGGGAAAGUCCAUCAGCUCUCCUCGGCUGAGAGGGAUGAGGCAAGUUGAGUUCAGUUCACUAGCUAGUUCAAUUCUGUUUUCCUGUACGUUACUGUUGCUGAACUAGAUAUUCUUCUUUGGUUCGAGUCCAUCAGCUGAAAAGAGGAAGAUGAUGUGGGCAAGCGUCAUCUCCAGAAGGCCGAACAGGUGCUGAAUCCGGUGCCAUUGAUUGGUUUCCUUACAGGUAAACUUGUGACAGAUGAGAAGUAUAUAACAGUAAAGCCGAUGGAAUGCUAAGAACCGGCAGUGUAUUUAUAGUGCAUACUUAUUGGAACAGAAUGUCAAUAAUGCAUUUGUUCUUUAACUGUGAAA